CUGAUAUCACUCCGCUAUAAAACUGGUCCGCUUCAUUCUUUCUACUUUCAAAAAUCUUCUCAAAGUCUUCUCCGAAAGGCUUCUCCGAUGCGUCCUUGGCAAUCGUGAGCCUAACUCUGAGCACGCGUUCCUCACCCCCCUGGAUCUCUAACAUGUGAUGUGCAGCGACCUUGGUGCCUUUCUUCUUAGGGCUGACUGCCUCGCCCUCACCGUUGAUGAGGUAGCGAUGAAAAGCAUCCUUGGUGUAGGGGGUGUAUUGUGAAGCACCGUAUAG